GACAUCCUGCCGAGUCCGCUUUCCCCUUUCUCCAUCUUCUUCCGUGUUCUAUUCCAGUUUUGUGCAGUUUUUGAGCAGUUUUUAUUAGAAACCUUUUCCUAUUCUUCUGAGCGUGGAUCCCGUCGAGUAUGACGGACGUGAGGGGUGCUAAUACCUUCCCCUUGCGUAACCGACUCCCGUACCUUGCAAUCUCUGGUCGUAA
rnacentral:lncRNA from 1 species